GACGAACGCUGGCGGCGUGCUUAACACAUGCAAGUCGAACGGAAAGGCCCUGCUUUUGUGGGGUGCCCGAGUGGCGAACGGGUGAGUAACACGUGAGUAACCUGCCCUUGACUUUGGGAUAACUUCAGGAAACUGGGGCUAAUACCGGAUAGGAGCUCCUGCUGCAUGGUGGGGGUUGGAAAGUUUCGGCGGUUGGGGAUGGACUCGCGGCUUAUCAGCUUGUUGGUGGGGUAGUGGCUUACCAAGGCUUUGACGGGUAGCCGGCCUGAGAGGGUGACCGGCCACAUUGGGCCUGAGAUACGGCCCAGACUCCUACGGGAGGCAGCAGUGGGGAAUAUUGCACAAUGGGCGGAAGCCUGAUGCAGCAACGCCGCGUGCGGGAUGACGGCCUUCGGGUUGUAAACCGCUUUCGCCUGUGACGAAGCGUGAGUGACGGUAAUGGGUAAAGAAGCACCGGCUAACUACGUG
rnacentral:rRNA from 1 species